CUGGAAAGUCCGACGAUACAGGGUGAUAGUCCCGUAGUUGACGACGUGUGUUCAGUGAAAUCGAGUAGGGCGGGACACGUGAUAUCCUGUCUGAAUAUGGGGGGACCAUCCUCCAAGGCUAAAUACUACUGACUGACCGAUAGUGAACCAGUACCGUGAGGGAAAGGCGAAAAGAACCCCUGUGAGGGGAGUGAAAUAGAACCUGAAACCGUGUACGUACAAGCAGUAGGAGCAGGCUUUGUCCUGUGACUGCGUACCUUUUGUAUAAUGGGUCAGCGACUUAUAUUCAGUGGCAAGGUUAACCAUCUAGGGGAGCCGUAGGGAAACCGAGUCUUAACUGGGCGUUCAGUCUCUGGAUAUAGACCCGAAACCAGGUGAUCUAGCCAUGGGCAGGUUGAAGGUUGAGUAACAUCAACUGGAGGACCGAACCGACUAAUGUUGAAAAAUUAGCGGAUGACUUGUGGCUAGGGGUGAAAGGCCAAUCAAACCUGGAGAUAGCUGGUUCUCCCCGAAAGCUAUUUAGGUAGCGCCUCGGACGAAUACUACUGGGGGUAGAGCACUGUUAAGGCUAGGGGGUCAUCCCGACUUACCAACCCUUUGCAAACUCCGAAUACCAGUAAGUACUAUCCGGGAGACACACGGCGGGUGCUAACGUCCGUCGUGGAGAGGGAAACAACCCAGACCGCCAGCUAAGGUCCCAAAUUACUACUAAGUGGGAAACGAUGUGGGAAGGCUCAGACAGCCAGGAUGUUGGCUUAGAAGCAGCCAUCAUUUAAAGAAAGCGUAAUAGCUCACUGGUCGAGUCGGCCUGCGCGGAAGAUGUAACGGGGCUAAGUAGUAAACCGAAGCUGCGGCAAUAUACUUUUGUAUAUUGGGUAGGGGAGCGUUCUGUAAGCGGUUGAAGGUGUGUGGUAACGCAUGCUGGACGUAUCAGAAGUGCGAAUGCUGACAUGAGUAACGAUAAAGGGGGUGAAAAACCUCCUCGCCGGAAGACCAAGGGUUCCUGUCCAACGUUAAUCGGGGCAGGGUAAGUCGACCCCUAAGGCGAGGCCGAAAGGCGUAGUCGAUGGGAAACGGGUUAAUAUUCCCGUACUUCUUACAAUUGCGAUGGGGGGACGGAGAAGGCUAGGUGGGCCUGGCGACGGUUGUCCAGGUUCAAGUGCGUAGGCUUAAGAGUUAGGUAAAUCCGGCUCUUUUUAAGGCUGAGACACGACGUCGAGCACCUACGGGUGUGAAGUCAUUGAUGCCAUGCUUCCAGGAAAAGCCUCUAAGCUUCAGAUUGUAAGGAAUCGUACCCCAAACCGACACAGGUGGUCGGGUAGAGAAUACCAAGGCGCUUGAGAGAAC
rnacentral:rRNA from 1 species